GACGAACGAUGGCGGCGUGCCUAAUACAUGCAAGUCGAACGAGUGGCGGACGGGUGAGUAAUGUCUGUGAAACUGCCCGAUGGAGGGGGAUAACUACUGGAAACGGUAGCUAAUACCGCAUACCCUCGGAUGUGCCCAGAUGGGAUUAACUAGUAGGUGGGGUAACGGCUCACCUAGGCGACGAUCCCUAGCUGGUCUGAGAGGAUGACCAGCAAGACUGGAACUGAGACACGGUCCAGACUCCUACGGGAUGCAGAAGUGGGGAAUAUUGCACAAGGGGCGCAAGCCGGAUACAGCAAUGCCGCGUGUAUGAAGAAGGCCUUCGGGUUGUAAAGUACUUUCAGCGAGGAGGCGUUACUCGCAGAAGAAGCACCGGCUAACUCCGUGCCAGCAGCCGCGGUAAUAC
rnacentral:rRNA from 1 species